UGAUUUUAGAAGGAAGUUUUUAUGUUAUUAAAUAUUGUGGAUGUCAAAUGAUUAUAGCUCAAUAAAUUUAAUGUAUGUAAUUAACACGGGGAAAACACAAUAAAGAAUGAAAAAACAGACAUGUGGGACAGAAAGAAAUUUAUUUUUGUAUUCCUGAAAGUGUUGCAGGUUGCAGGAAUCAUACAGGAAGUAUUUGUGAAAACAGGUGAUACAGUUGUCUUAAAUUGUACAUGCACCAAUCAAACAAACGGGCUCUGGGAUGGACCAAAUAAGUCAGCAUCAAGGAUAAACGGUCUGGACGAGGAAACAUUAAUGCCAUAUUCACAGGGGACGCUACGUAAUUCAAAAUUAAACUUAUCAAAAUAUUAUAUUGUGGGAAGUUAUAAGAACAGAACUUGUAAAUUAAUGAUUAAAAAAUUUUCGUCUGAUGAUGAAGGAAAAUACCAUUGUCAAUACGUAGAAAAUGACACAACAAUUAGUCGUUUUUACAGAGUUCUCAUACAGACUCCACCUGAUGUCUCAAUUAUUACAGCACAAUUAGGAAAUGCAACGAAUCUUGAAUGCCAUGCUACCGGCGAUUCUGGGCCAUACACGUUCAAAGAUUGGGAACAUAAAUCAGAAUCUGGUAUACAUAUACGAUAUAUAGAAAACACAAAAGACGGUACACUUGUACUUCAGAAAGACAAUUAUCAAAACAGCGGGAUAUAUAUAUGCAGAGUGAACAAUGGCGUUAUUGAUAUGAGCGGAGAGCAUUAUCAGAAAAGAAAAGUCUUGGUAAAU